rnacentral:rRNA from 1 species
GAUGAACGCUGGCGGCGUGCCUAAUACAUGCAAGUCGAGCGAAGCGGGGACGGGUGAGUAACACGUGGAUAACCUCCUAUAAGACUGGGAUAACUUCGGGAAACCGGAGCUAAACCGGAUACGUAUAGAUGGAUCCGCGUGUAAUUAGUUAGUGGGGAAGUUAACGGCUUACCAAGGCAACGAUCCAUAGCCGACCUGAGAGUGGGACCGGCCAAACUGGAACUGAGACACGGUCCAGAUUCCUACGGGAGGAAGCAGUAGGGAAUCUUCCGAAAUGGGCGAAAGCCUGACAGAGAAACGCCGCGUGAGUGAUGAAGGUCUUCGGUCCGUAAAACUCUGUUAUUAGGGAAGCGGUACCUAAUCAGAAAGCCACGGCUAACUACGUGCCAGCCGCCGCGGUAAUAC